GGCUCUGAUGAUGAUAAAAAAAAACUUUCGUUCUUCUGAGAGUUUCCAUGCUGAAGAACACAUGGAGACCUGAACUGAGGAGUC